AAAGGAAUUGACGGGGACCCGCACAAGCAGUGGAGCAUGUGGUUUAAUUCGAAGCAACGCGAAGAACCUUACCAGGCCUUGACAUCCUCCUGACGCACUUGGAGACAAGUGUUCUCUUCGGAGCAGGAGUGACAGGUGGUGCAUGGUUGUCGUCAGCUCGUGUCGUGAGAUGUUGGGUUAAGUCCCGCAACGAGCGCAACCCUUGGUUCCAGUUGCCAGCAGGUCAGGCUGGGCACUCUGGAGCGACUGCCGGUGACAAACCGGAGGAAGGUGGGGAUGACGUCAAAUCAUCAUGCCCCUUAUGGCCUGGGCUACACACGUGCUACAAUGGUCGAUACAACGGGAAGCGAAGUCGCGAGGCGGAGCGAAUCCUAUCAAAGUCGAUCUCAGUUCGGAUUGCAGGCUGCAACUCGCCUGCAUGAAGUCGGAAUUGCUAGUAAUCGCGGAUCAGCAUGCCGCGGUGAAUCCGUUCCCGGGUCUUGUACACACCGCCCGU
rnacentral:rRNA from 1 species